rnacentral:tRNA from 1 species
GGAUCAGACGGGACACAGGUAGUCCUAGUGGGCUGUAACCCCAUGCCGCUGGCGAAGUAGGUUCGAUCCCUACCUGAUCCACCA